GACGAACGCUGGCGGCGUGCUUAACACAUGCAAGUCGAGCGAGCAGAUUCCCUUCGGGGAUGAAGCUAGCGGCGGACGGGUGAGUAACACGUGGGCAACCUGCCUUAUAGAGGGGGAUAGCCUUCCGAAAGGAAGAUUAAUACCGCAUAACAUCAGAUUAUCGCAUGGUAGACUGAUCAAAGGAGCAAUCCGCUAUAAGAUGGGCCCGCGUCGCAUUAGCUAGUUGGUGAGGUAACGGCUCACCAAGGCGACGAUGCGUAGCCGACCUGAGAGGGUGAUCGGCCACAUUGGGACUGAGACACGGCCCAGACUCCUACGGGAGGCAGCAGUGGGGAAUAUUGCACAAUGGGGGAAACCCUGAUGCAGCAACGCCGCGUGAGUGAUGAAGGCCUUCGGGUUGUAAAGCUCUUUGAUCAGGGACGAUAAUGACGGUACCUGAAGAACAAGCCACGGCUAACUACGUGCCAGCAGCCGCCGUAA
rnacentral:rRNA from 1 species